rnacentral:rRNA from 1 species
CCUACGGGAUGCAGCAGUGGGGAAUAUUGGGCAAUGGGCGCAAGCCUGACCCAGCAACGCCGCGUGAAGGAAGAAGGCUUUCGGGUUGUAAACUUCUUUUAAGAGGGAAGAGCAGAAGACGGUACCUCUUGAAUAAGCCACGGCUAACUACGUGCCAGCAGCCGCGGUAAUACGUAGGUGGCAAGCGUUGUCCGGAUUUACUGGGUGUAAAGGGCGUGCAGCUGGGAAGACAAGUCAGAUGUGAAAGCCCGCGGCUCAACCGUGGAACUGCAUUUGAAACUGGUUUUCUUGAGUACCGGAGAGGUCAUCGGAAUUCCUUGUGUAGCGGUGAAAUGCGUAGAUAUAAGGAAGAACACCAGUGGCGAAGGCGGAUGACUGGACGGCAACUGACGGUGAGGCGCGAAAGCGUGGGGAGCAAACAGGAUUAGAUACCCGAGUAGUC